AUCGUAGCUCAGUUGGUUAGAGCGCGGGAUUGUGGUUCCUGAGGUCGCGGGUUCGAACCCCGUCGA
rnacentral:tRNA from 1 species